rnacentral:rRNA from 1 species
UGGAUUUACUGGACGUCGAGCGGCGGACGGGUGAGUAACGGCUGGGAACCUGCCCUGACGAGGGGGAUAACCGUUGGAAACGACGGCUAAUACCGCAUAAUGUCUUGAUUCGUUAGAGUCAGGACCAAAGGUGGCCUCUACAUGUAAGCUAUCGCGUUGGGAUGGGCCCAGUUAGGAUUAGCUAGUUGGUAAGGUAAUGGCUUACCAAGGCAACGAUCCUUAACUGGUUUGAGAGGAUGAUCAGCCACACUGGGACUGAGACACGGCCCAGACUCCUACGGGAGGCAGCAGUGGGGAAUAUUGCACAAUGGGGGAGACCCUGAUGCAGCCAUGCCGCGUGUGUGAAGAAGGCCUUCGGGUUGUAAAGCACUUUCAGCAGUGAGGAAGGUCGUGUACUUAAUACGUGCACGGCUUGACGUUAGCUGCAGAAGAAGCACCGGCUAACUCCGUGCCAGCAGCCGCGGUAAUACGGAGGGUGCGAGCGUUAAUCGGAAUUACUGGGCGUAAAGCGCAUGCAGGCGGUUUGUUAAGUCAGAUGUGAAAGCCCGGGGCUCAACCUCGGAACCGCAUUUGAAACUGGCAGGCUAGAGUCUUGUAGAGGGGGGUAGAAUUUCAGGUGUAGCGGUGAAAUGCGUAGAGAUCUGAAGGAAUACCAGUGGCGAAGGCGGCCCCCUGGACAAAGACUGACGCUCAGAUGCGAAAGCGUGGGUAGCAAACAGGAUUAGAUACCCUGGUAGUCCACGCCGUAAACGCUGUCUACUUGGAGGUUGAGGUUUUAGACUUUGGCUUUCGGCGCUAACGCAUUAAGUAGACCGCCUGGGGAGUACGGCCGCAAGGUUAAAACUCAAAUGAAUUGACGGGGGCCCGCACAAGCGGUGGAGCAUGUGGUUUAAUUCGAUGCAACGCGAAGAACCUUACCUACUCUUGACAUCCAGCGAAGCCUUUAGAGAUAGAGGCGUGCCUUCGGGAGCGCUGAGACAGGUGCUGCAUGGCUGUCGUCAGCUCGUGUUGUGAAAUGUUGGGUUAAGUCCCGCAACGAGCGCAACCCUUAUCCUUGUUUGCCAGCACAUAAUGGUGGGAACUCCAGGGAGACUGCCGGUGAUAAACCGGAGGAAGGUGGGGACGACGUCAAGUCAUCAUGGCCCUUACGAGUAGGGCUACACACGUGCUACAAUGGCAGAUACAGAGGGCAGCGAGACAGCGAUGUUUAGCGAAUCCCUUAAAGUUUGUCGUAGUCCGGAUUGGAGUCUGCAACUCGACUCCAUGAAGUCGGAAUCGCUAGUAAUCGUGGAUCAGAAUGCCACGGUGAAUACGUUCCCGGGCCUUGUACACACCGCCCGUCACACCAUGGGAGUGGGCU